CUGGUCUGCUAAGGAAAUCGACAAUGUCUCACCGGAACAAAUCCAAAGUUUCAAAGAAGGCAAUGAGUUUUGCUUAUUCUGGAAGAUAAAGAAAAAGUCAAAUAGAUCAAGAUAAAAUCUUUCUCUCGUCUACACAAAAUUGCAAAUAAGGAUUUUUCGUUACUUCCCUGGGAACAAUGACCAAUGUACGACCUUGUAACAAAGGACCCCAAAUUUCUGGUACACUGUCGACGAACGUUAAAGCCGUUUUGAAGAUGCAACGAUUCUCUUCCGUCCAAUAAGAAAUAAAAUCAAACUACAAAGACUACGAAAAACUAUAAGAACGUAGUAUAAUACGUCAUCAGCCGUGGAAAUAUCAGGAGAUAAGGAUCUAUCAUUGAGAGAGAUUGACCAUGACAAAGGAGGCUACGUUGUAAGCUUAACAAAUAGUCUAAUGCAAAUUAAGACUAUUCGUUAAGUUUUUGUUUAGUUAAUUUAAUUUCUUUUUGCAUUCUUUUGAAUAAACAUCUACACGAAUAAUUAACGACGAAGUUGACUGAGCAAUAUCGUUUCGGUAUUGAUCGAAUCUUGGACUUAUGAUAGAAGAAAGAAAUGAAAAAAAAAAGAAAAACAAGAAAAAAAUUAAAUGACCGCUCGUUUAUUCUUUCUAUCAAGGCUAUUCUGAAUAAAUAAUACAGGAAGUAGUUUCCUGAUCAAUCGAAUAGCGGAAAGAACACACUCCUCAUUAAUAGCCUCAGGCUGCGAUAUUUUUCCAUCAAAAUCUUCAAGGUCUUCCCACUCAGUGAUAUAUAUAUAUAUAUAUAUAUAUAUAUAUAUAUAUAUCGAAUGAAUCGAAGGUUAUCUUAAAAAUUGCUCACCUUCUUUCUCGAGGAUCACCACCAUUGGUUCAGCCUCCUGCAAGAUGUGUUUCAACCUCGUCGAUGGGAAUUCAGGGUCCAAAGGUCAUUUCCCGUACCUCGCCGUUAGCAUCUAACAAAUCAAAAAAUCUAAGGGUACCCAUCUAGAACCAGACAUCAAAAAUGGCAUUGAAAGAGAAUAUUAUUGUGAUUUAAGGUAAUAAAAAUGUUAGUUUCUCUAUGAGAAUGAAUAUGAUAAACGUAAGUGAACACUUACACCGAUACUUUUAACGUGUAAAAAAUAUCUAAGAUCGAAGAAACACAUCGAUCAUUCUAAUAAUGAUCUGUUCGAAAGAAACGACGUUCUGUGAAUCCUACAAUUUGUUACUGCAAAAAAAAAGAAAAAGAAAAAGGAGCGUUAUCUUGCUACAUUGCAAUUAACCAUCGUAUCAUCAACCAUAAAUACAUUAAAGGAAAAAAAAACGUUUGAUGCAAGGAGUGAAAUGACUACGAAAUAAUCGUGGAGACUAUGGCAUAGAUCGACCGUUUACGUAAUCGUUUGUAGAAAAUACGAAAGUUGGUCAACCAGUGUAUCAACUACCAACGAAAAGUAUCGUGAGAUAUUGGCAAAAUACUUCAGAAAUAAUACAUAUGUAAACGUUAUAUAUUCUAAGCAAGAAAGUUGAUCAACCAAUGGAUUAACUAACAGGGAGGGGUAUUUAUAAAUAGUAAAAUAUUGGACGAAAUACUUCAGAAAUUAUGCACAUGUAAAUGUUAUACUUAUAUCUUACUUAUCUCAAAUUUUUUACAGCUUACGAAGUCUCAAGAAACUAUCUAACCUGGUCGCGUACGUGAAUUAUGAUCGCUACAUUGCUGUAUCUCUAAAACUGAAAUUAUAUAUACUAUAACGUGACUAAUUGACACUUUACUGCGAGACUAUCUUAAAGUAAAUUAAACGCUCGUGUAAAAUGUACUCGAGAAAAAUGAAACUUAUAAGGAACAUUAGAACAUAUAUUCAUGAACACAGGGUCUGACUGAAAAUGAAAUCUGAUGAUUAUCAGUCAAAGAUAUUUGAAAAUUCGCGAUAAUUUUAAAAGAUAAAGAAGAAUGAUUUAAGAGGAAGGAAGUUGCGAUAAGAUUUCUUUCAUUGACGUAUUAAAUUUUUUUCAUGUAUAAACCUUGAGAAAUAUUGUAUUAUUAGUUUGAAAAACUUUCGACGAUCGUUUUGUCUUAAAAAUGAUAGAUAUUAAUUUAUUUCCAACGAUGAAAAAUCUCAAGUGAACUUUGACUUUCAUAGAUUAGAUUGAAAAUAACAUUCCUAUAUUCGCCAAUUUUUAUACAUUGAAACUUUAAUUUCAUCGCUACGUCGAAAGAUUCGCUUGAUUAGAAGAAAUUCUUUUUCUUUCGAUGAAAUUCGAUGAAGUAAUCGAUGAAGUUUUUUAAUUAUUUUCCUUACAAGAAGGCACCGAUUCUAAAGGUUAUAAUCACUAAUCAUUGGGUUAAGCAAUUUUGAAUAUUUUAAUGUUUAUAUUCCUUUAACAUUAAACAAGAUAAGCCGAAAAUGACUUUUGGAAAUCAAUUAAUAGUCUUUCUCUACAAAUAUUUUUGACAUAAAAAUGUUAAAGCAUAUGACUUUUAUUCCGAACAUAGAAGUGUAAUAUUAUAUCAAGUAAAUAUUUACUAAGUAGAUACUAAGUGUGCUAUCACCAAUCUAUGCUUACUUCUACUAGUGCUGUUACUACUACUACUAUUGGUACUACUAUCGCUAUUACUCCACGACUGGUAUUACUACUAUUGGAUAAGACUACUUUAUCAACAAUGAGAAAGUGAAUGACUUUAACUCUCCUCGUCAGCUCUAUUGCAAGAAGGAGAUAUCAUCUUUGGAUAAUUCUCGUGCAGGCGUCAAAGUCUCUCACAAUCGAUACCUCCGAGAUAAAACAAACACAGUAGUCGUAGAUAUCAGAUGUAAAAUUAUCUAAGACAUCUUUCUAAGAUGAAUAUGUAUACACAUGUGUAUAUAUGUAUGUAUAUAUGUAUGUAUGUAUGUAUGCAUGUAUAUAGAUAUACAACUAUUCUAUAGUUUACAUAUGUUAGCUAUGAGUAAUUGUAUUUGAUGAUGGCUCACACGACAGUCGUUCAUGCGUUUCUUUUAUCGGCGAGUGCAAAGUCAGUAAUAAUAAUUUUAUAAUCACGGCUAUUAAAAAUAUUUGUCGAUAACUCCAAAAAAAAAAAGAAAGAGAAGAAGAAGUAAAAUAAUUAUUUACAAUUUAGAUAAUAUUUACGAUCUUUAAAGAUUCAUCGUGACGAUUUAUAGUGUUCAUUUUCGGAGAAUCAUGUGUAUUUUCUUUUUUUUUUAGAUUCUUGUUUGCGACAGAAAAUAUAAGUUCUACAAUUACAGUAAGAUUGAUUAGGUUACUCGCUUACUUCGUUUUGUUUACUUCUCGACUUUGACGCGUUCAAACGUCUUAUUUAAAUAUUUACGUGUACUAAAUAGUUAUCAUUAUUAUUGUUAUUGUUGCUGUUACAGAAGAGUCACGUAUAUCUUAAUGAUACAUCUCUUAUAAACAUUACGAAUGUUAUGAUCGUUACGAAAGUAUAUCAGUAUAUAUCUUGAUCAGACACAGUUUAGAAACCAAUACUCGUUCUUGAAUAAUAUAUAAUUCUGUCGAUAUUUCAGCAAAGGAAUUUAAUCGUAAUAUAAUUUUUACGUAGUCACUUCGUAAUUUCACGAGAAAAAAAAUAAGAACGAGGACAGCCUCGACCGAGAGCCAGUGAAUUGUUAAGUUUUUACUUAACAGUUUCCCUUGAACAAUUAUGUAUAUAUGUAUGUAUGCAUGUACAUGUAUGUGUCUGUUUGUAUGCGUGUAUAUAUAUAUAUAUAUAUAUAUAUGUACGUGUAUCUCUUUUUAUUAUUUUUUUGUUAUUCUCCCUUAGCUUUCCGCAAGGUAACAGAAUCCGUUCGUUUCAACGAUGAAACCAUUUGUAAUACUCCAGAACUCUUCAACAAAUUUCACAUUUAAAAUCAAACAAUGUUUAUCGAUUAACAUUAAAACUAUCAACAAUAUAUUUUAUUCCGAUAUAUUAAGAUAUAUUUUAUAUGUUAUAUUUCCGCUUAAAAGCAAUCUUUUCCGUAAUGUUAUUCUUUCUACGGUUAAAGGAAAAUACGACAAACGCAAAUAUUAGUUAGAAAAAUACGAAAAAAAAAAAAGAAAAAAUGAAGCUAUGUAAAUUCUAUUGAAAAAGACGUUCUCAUUUAUGCUCGAGUUACAAGAUGGGAAUUCCAAUCUCGAGAACGUUUUCGGGAUUUCCAUUCAACUUCCUUCGAGUAUACAACAGUUUCUUCAAAUCGUAACACCGUCAUUGAAAUAUCGCUUAAGAGGAAAGACGAAUAAAAAAAAGAAGAAAAGAAAAUCAAUAUUUGAACAAAUUUCGAUCUACACGUGCAUUGCAACUAAUAGAAAUCAAGUAAAUGUGUGUGUAUAUAUAUAUAUAUAUAUAUAUAUAUAUAUAUAUAUACGUAUAUAUUUAAUUAUCUUUAUAAUAUUAUUAUCUUUUAAUAAUUAAUUUUAUUUUUAUAAUAAUUAUUUUUAUUAUAUAUUAUAAUCAAUUAUUUUUACUCCCAUUUUCAAUACAUAUAAAAGUAUGUGUAAAUUAUGAGACAGAAAAAAAAUAACGACCUUUUAAGAUUUACACACUCAAUGUAUCAAGUCCCACAUUAGAUUCUAAUUUACAUUCCUUUCAAAUCUUACGUAAGGGCAAAAAUUAAUUCACGAAAGUUUACUUGAUAAUUAUUAUACUUGGCUUUUUUUCUUUUUCUAUUUUUCUUUUGAUUUCUUAUAUUUUUUUAUAUUUUUCAAUCUCGCAAUCAUUUACGUCUAAUUAAUAGUUAUCUCAUAGCACAUACAACGUUGUUGAUCGCAAUUCUUCUAUAAUACAUUACUACAAAAUUACGGAUGCGUAUCCAAUUACGAUAAAUAUCAAAUUGCCGUCAAUAUAGUCAUCAAAGAAUAAGAUUUCAAAUUAGAUAUGUAUGUCUAGUUUUAAAUUAUGAAAAUUGUUUCGGAUGGAAAAAGAAUCUCAUAUUUGCAGAUUUGCAUUACAUGUAAUUGUGGAAUAUAUCUCUUUCUUUUUUUUUAAGAUGAUACAUCUUACAUUACUUAUCAAUCAUUCAUGAUCUUUUCCAAGCCAACGACAAAUACCACGAAAGAGAGAGAUAGAGAGAGAAAGAGAGAGAAAGAGAGAGAGGGAGAGAAAGAAGAAAAAACAAAAACAAAGUAUAUGGAAUAAGCGUGGUACUUUAGAUGUGUCACGUCGAUACUACGAUGAAAAAAUAUAUAUAUAUACACAUAAACAUGUAUAAUACAUAUAUCUUAUUUUCUUUCAUGAAUCAUCGAUUUCUUUGAAUUGAUUAAUAUCUUGUAAUAAUUGAAUUAUUAUGACUACUGUUGGUCAUUUAAAUGUGUGUUUUAAAAAAAUAGAUUUAAUCAGAGAUUCCAAAUUUGUCGUAAAUAUUAAAAUAUGUGAGAGUACUUUACGUAUUCAUAAUAGGAAAGUUUUACUCAUUGAGAAUCGUUGGAUGAAUAAUUCAAAAUCAAUUUAAUUAAAAAUAACAUUUGAGAAUUAAUACUUAUCUCGUAUUUUCCUCACAGCUUGUAGAUCUACAUUUACAUCGCAUAUCUGUUUUGAAUUCAUUAUCGAUUAACUCUUGGCAACAAUUAUUAUAUUUUCGACUGGACUGAGAAAAACAAUGUCGUAUUCGAAAGUGGGACAUAAAGAUUUGGAAAACUCUAAAUUAGAAUAUACGAUGGAAUUUUUUUAAUUCGUUUAUCCUUUUCAACAUUGUUACAUAAAUCAUUAGUGGAAAUCUAUGAAAGGGUCUAUUUCUUCGUUUAACCUUCGAAAUACAGACUACUUUUUUUAAUAUACAAUGUAUAGGCAAACUAAAGAAGUUUCAUUAGAUCCCAUCGUUAACAAGCAAAUCU